rnacentral:rRNA from 1 species
CUGGAGGUAUCAGAAGUGCGAAUGCUGACAUAAGUAACGAUAAAGCGGGUGAAAAGCCCGCUCGCCGGAAGACCAAGGGUUCCUGUCCAACGUUAAUCGGGGCAGGGUGAGUCGACCCCUAAGGCGAGGCCGAAAGGCGUAGUCGAUGGGAAACGGGUUAAUAUUCCCGUACUUGGUGUUACUGCGAAGGGGGGACGGAGAAGGCUAUGUUGGCCGGGC